AUGGCUGUCGUCAGCUCGUGUCGUGAGAUGUUGGGUUAAGUCCCGCAACGAGCGCAACCCUUGUCAUUAGUUGCUACGAAAGGGCACUCUAAUGAGACUGCCGGUGACAAACCGGAGGAAGUGGGGAUGACGUCAAGUCCUCAUGGCCCUUAUAGUGGGGCUACACACGUCAUACAAUGGCUGGUACAAAGGGUUGCCAACCCGCGAGGGGGAGCCAAUCCCAUAAAGCCAGUCGUAGUCCGGAUCGCAGUCUGCAACUCGACUGCGUGAAGUCGGAAUCGCUAGUAAUCGUGGAUCAGCAUGUCACGGUGAAUACGUUCCCGGGUCUU
rnacentral:rRNA from 1 species